rnacentral:lncRNA from 1 species
CGAGUACCAAGGUUGUCCCUGCCACGCUCAGGGCUUGCCGGAACCACCCACACCUCCACUGGGACCCUUCUUGGGCGAAGGUCCCUUCUCCUCCUUCACCUUCUUCAGUUUGGCUUUGCUUUUGCCAUAGGAGGAGAAGGUGAGCGAGGCCUUGCUGAACUCCAGUGGGAAGACGCCUACAUCGCCAUCGAAGCGGUUCUUGGACACCUGCAGGUAGCGCUUCCCGGGACCCGUCGUGAGCUUGCGGUCCUGCAGGAUGAGGACGUUGUCGGCCUCCUGGCUGGCCUUGGCAGAGCCGAAGAUGGAGGCGGUCUGCAGCUCCUUCUCGUCGUCCUCCUUGCGCGGGUGGAUGACCAGCGUGAUGUGGCACGUGUUGUCGGUGGCGAACUUGCGGAAGGCUCCGACGAUGAAAUCCUGUGCUGCCAACCUGUCUGCUGAGAGCUGCUCGUGGCCCAUCAUGAACUGCAGGUUGUCCACCACCACGUG